rnacentral:rRNA from 1 species
AGUGAACGCUGGCGGUAGGCCUAACACAUGCAAGUCGAACGGCAGCACAGUAAGAGCUUGCUCUUACGGGUGGCGAGUGGCGGACGGGUGAGGAAUACAUCGGAAUCUACUUUUUCGUGGGGGAUAACGUAGGGAAACUUACGCUAAUACCGCAUACGACCUACGGGUGAAAGCAGGGGAUCUUCGGACCUUGCGCGAUUGAAUGAGCCGAUGUCGGAUUAGCUAGUUGGCGGGGUAAAGGCCCACCAAGGCGACGAUCCGUAGCUGGUCUGAGAGGAUGAUCCGCCACACUGGAACUGAGACACGGUCCAGACUCCUACGGGAGGCAGCAGUGGGGAAUAUUCGACAAUGGGCGCAAGCCUGAUCCAGCCAUACCGCGUGGGUGAAGAAGGCCUUCGGGUUGUAAAGCCCUUUUGUUGGGAAAGAAAAGCAGCAGGUUAAUACCCCGCUGUUCUGACGGUACCCAAAGAAUAAGCACCGGCUAACUUCGUG